GGAACAGGGUAAUCACCGCCGCUUUUGCGAUCCCGAAGUAUUAUCAGUUCCUUGCAGGUAGAGGAUGUUUCUGACACAUCUUAGCAUCUCCGAGUGCUAGAAGAAUAGAGCUGACCGUAAGGAUCAGGUGAGGAAACUGAAGCACAAGCUACACAACUCCAGUGAGAAGCAGAGCUGGAACUGAUUCCACUUGGCUGAUUACCCAGGUCAGCUAGAUCCUACCCUCGUAUCCUGCAGUGCUUGCUUUCAGUGAACAGGAUUCGGUUGAGGGUAUUGAAGAAGGACGGAAGCACGCCUGCCCACCUGAUCUCUGUACCCCCUCUGCCCUCCUCUGGCAGCAGCAGGCCCUUCAUCUGCUCCUUGGAAGGGAAGAGCCAGGUCCUAGAGGCAUCUUCGAUUUGCCAAUAGCUCUAUUCUCCACACGGAUACUGCCUUCACAGUGUAUGACUCUGGACCAGGGUUUGGGAUUGGUCCAGGGAAAAGCUGUAAAUUUGAGUGGCUCCUGAUCCUCUCCUUCCCCUUCAGGCUAUUUCUGGGUCAUCUGGAGAGCGGCAGGGCUGGAGCAGGAGGGACCAGGCCCAUGUACAGCAGGCUCGGUCCCCGGCUGCAUCAGAGCAGCUCAGCAAGCAUCCUCACCAAUUACCCUGUCUUAUGCACAAAGGGAUCUAGACUCAGCUUCUCACCUUUGGAUACCAAAAGCAUCAGGCAGUGGGAGGUGGAGGAGUGUCUCAGGCCAAAUGAGGCACCUCAAGAUGAUAAGGGCCAGACCCUACAUGCAUCUGAAGCAGGAAGAGGCCAAGGCCUUCACUGAGGAGAUGGAUGGGGCAGCAUCUCAAAGACGGUGGGCAAGUAACUAACCCUGUUGGUCUCUAGGAGGGGCCUUGCCAGUCACUGUCUACCCAGUUCAAACGACAUGUUUCAGCAUCAUGAAAAAUAACAAACAAAUAUGGACUAUAUGAGUCAAUUUUUGUUUAAAAGGAAAACGCAAAGACACGUUAAAAAAAUGGAUAUUUUUUAA